UACGUAGGGGGCAAGCGUUGUCCGGAUUUAUUGGGCGUAAAGAGCGUGUAGGCGGCCAGGUAGGUCUGCUGUGAAAACUCGAGGCUCAACCUCGAGACGUCGGCGGAAACCAUCUGGCUAGAGUCCGGAAGAGGAGAGUGGAAUUCCUGGUGUAGCGGUGAAAUGCGCAGAUAUCAGGAAGAACACCCGUGGCGAAGGCGGCUCUCUGGGACGGUACUGACACUGAGGCACGAAGGCUAGGGGAGCAAACGGG
rnacentral:rRNA from 1 species